UAGUAAGGUAGGAUAAUUAUUAGUCUAUUAGGUUCAUACCCUUUUGGUGGAAACUCUUAUUAUA
rnacentral:tRNA from 1 species